GUCUUUGUAGCGCAAUGGAUAGCUUGUGAACUUUAAUCCAAAUGGACUGGACUUUUAAUCCAAAGGUCGUGGGUUCAAAUCCCACCUGGGAUG